AGCGGCGAGCGAAGCGGCAAGAGCUCAGCUUUGGAAUCGGCGGACGUCGAGUUGUAGAGUGGAGCGCGGCAGCUGGAGCGCCGGACGCGUCCAAGUUUCUUGGAACAGAACAUCGCAGAGGGUGAGAAUCCCGUGGGAUGUGUCCUGGCGGCCCGUGUAGUUGCUGUGCGGCGAGUCGAGUUGUUUGGGAAUGCAGCUCCAAGUGGGUGGUAAACACCAUCUAAGGCUAAAUACCGGCGAGAGACCGAUAGCGAACAAGUACAGUGAUGGAAAGAUGAAAAGCACUUUGAAAAGAGAGUGAAACAGCACGUGAAAUUGUUGAAAGGGAAGGGCUUGCAAUUAGUGCCUCGCAAGAGGACCAGCAUCAGUUACCGGGGGACCACAAGGGCCGGGGAACGUGGCUCGCAUGCGUGCGAGUGUUAUAGCCCCGGGCGAUGGCCGUUUGGUGACUGAGGACCGCGCCGUGAGGCAAGGAUGCUGGGGUAAUGAUUGCCAGCCGCCCGUCUUGAAACACGGACCAAGGAGUCUAACGUCUAUGCGAGUGUUUGGGUGGCAAACCCGGACGCGCAAUGAAAGUGAACGCAGGUGGGGGCCCCGUCGGGGUGCACCAUCGACCGAUCCUGAAGUGUUCGGAAGGAUUUGAGUAGGAGCAUAGCUGUUGGGACCCGAAAGAUGGUGAACUAUGCCUGAAUAGGGUGAAGCCAGAGGAAACUCUGGUGGAGGCUCGUAGCGGUUCUGACGUGCAAAUCGAUCGUC
rnacentral:rRNA from 1 species